ACAAUCUUCGGACCGUCUCGGUCUACCGAGCAAUAUUAUCCGCUCGGCGGAAGAUCUUCCCUUCAUAGU
rnacentral:pre_miRNA from 1 species